UACGUAGGGGGCGAGCGUUAUCCGGAUUUACUGGGCGUAAAGCGCAUUAAGGCGGCCGGCAAAGUUGGUGGUGAAAUUUCAGGGCUCAACCCUGAAACUGCCUCCAAUACUGGUUGGCUAGAGUGUGAGAGAGGAAGGUGGAAUUCCCGGUGUAGUAGUGAAAUGCGUAGAUAUCGGGAGGAACACCAGUGGCGAAGGCGGCCUUCUGGCUCAUAACUGACGCUGUAGUGCGAAAGCGUGGGGAGCGAACGGG
rnacentral:rRNA from 1 species